UUACGGUCAUAUCCCGUUGAAACACCGCUUCUCGUUCGAUCACUGAAGUUAAGCAGCAUCGAUCCUGUUAAGUAUCUAGAUGGGUGGCCAAUUGGGAAUAUCAAGUGCUGUAAG